rnacentral:lncRNA from 1 species
GGGAGUACCUUUAGACACUCCAACUAUGAUGAUCUUGACGGCAUCAAUUACAGUGCCACCGAAGUUUUGUAGUUGUCAUAUCGCAAUGUGAAAUGAGAAAGAAAGGGGGAGAUCAAGAAAACAUAGUCUCAUGCAAAAUGUGGGUUAAACGAGAAAACCAAUGAACUACACACUACUGAACUUUACAUUGGAAGAGAGUGGUAUCUACAUGAUAGAUAGGAAAAAAUAUGAUUAGUGGAUAGGAGAUAGAGAGUUGAAUGACUGACUAAUUGCUUAGGAUAUGGAUCCUAUGCACCUUAUGACCCUCUUGAUUUGAGCAGGAGUCCAUCAUGAACUGAUGCAAAACUGGUGAAGUGGGGAUGAUUUGUUCCACUGACUCAAUCGUGACAGCAUGAGAAAAAAAUAGCAAAUUUACUUGGAUCCAGGAUUAUAUUCCUGAAAUU